GUAAGGCUUCCGCAGAGGUCGCCUGCUUUCCUAGCAGUUCCCACGAGCCAGACCCGGGCUGCCACGCAGGGGCAGGGGUCAGGCGUGGAGGCAGACUGUCCCGGUGCCCCCAGCCAGGCCGCUGGCGAGUCUGGCGCCGCCGCCGGGGAGCAGGGGCCCUGAGCUCUCUCCUCAGCGUCUGGACAGGCCGAGGAGGCAGACGAGGCACAAGUGACAGCUGGGAAGGUUUAAUUGCUCCUCAGUGGCUUGGGAGCACCUCCCUCCUUUGCCAGCGAUCUGCAUUUCAAUGUAGGAAGAGUGGAAAGUAAAGUAGGAUUGCCGCUCAAAGGGGUUACAAUGAUUAAUCAUUUAAAAAGCAAGAUCUUAAUUACAGGCCGCAAUUUUUGCUAUUUAAGGAGUCCAUUAGUUGCCAGAAAGAAGAAGAAAAAAAUUAUCACAGUAGGCUGAUGUCCUGAUCCUCGGGCGACUAAAGCGUCGAGAUCCCGUUCCUCAAGCUCUCCGCACCCUUCACAGUGAGCACACCUCUGUCGUUGGCACCAGCCCAGGAGGUCCAGCCCUGCACUCCACGUGAUGGACGGCACCUUUAUCCCAGAAGCCCCGGCAGGCAACAAAGGGGCCACCCAGUGUAGAAGUUGAUCUGGGGGUGUCAGAUCCCACCCCAGCCCUGAACUGCAACUUUUGGGGGACACUACCAGUGCAAACGUUAACCUCAAUGACUGUAAAGUGUAAGCUGCACCCGGG
ensembl:lincRNA Gm45168 predicted gene 45168